CAACUACUCCCUUUGUCCCAAAUUUCUUGUCUUAGAUUUGUCUAGAUACGGAUGUAUCUAAUACUAAAAUGUGACUUGAUACAUCCGUAUCUAGACAAAUCUAAGACAUGAAUGUUGGGACAGAGGGAGUACUUU
rfam:Triticum aestivum genome assembly, contig: Triticum_aestivum_CS42_TGACv1_scaffold_487134_6AS